GGAUGCGAUCAUACUCGUACUGACGCACCAGAUCCCAUAGGAACUCCGAAGUUAAGCGUGCUUGGGCGAGAGUAGUACUAAGUUGGGUGACCCCCCGGGAAGUCAUCGUGUUGCAUCCC